GACGAACGCUGGCGGCGUGCUUAACACAUGCAAGUCGAACGCGCCUGUCCUCUGGGUUUCUGGGGGGUGGGUGAGUGGCGAACGGGUGAGUAACACGUGAGUAACCUGCCCCCUUCUUCGGGAUAACGGUCUGAAAGGGCUGCUAAUACCGGGUAUUCACUGGUCUCCGCAUGGGGUCUGGUGGAAAGGUUUUUUUCUGGUGGGGGAUGGGCUCGCGGCCUAUCAGCUUGUUGGUGGGGUGAUGGCCCACCAAGGCUUUGACGGGUAGCCGGCCUGAGAGGGUGACCGGUCACAUUGGGACUGAGAUACGGCCCAGACUCCGACGGGAGGCAGCAGUGGGGAAUAUUGCACAAUGGGCGAAAGCCUGAUGCAGCGACGCCGCGUGAGGGAUGGAGGCCUUCGGGUUGUGAACCUCUUUCGCCCGUGGUCAAGCCGCGACGUGGGUCGUGGUGAGGGUAGUGGGUAAAGAAGCGCCGGCUAACUACGUG
rnacentral:rRNA from 1 species